rnacentral:misc_RNA from 1 species
UGAAAGUCAGAGGGAUUUUACUAUAUAAAAUUUGAAAGUUUAAGGGGUUUUAUAUUACAUUUUAAAAUUAAAGCACUGUAGUGUUACAUCUAUAUAAGUUUAAGGACAGUUAUUAAAAUUUAUCCCGCUAGUCUUUGACGAAGGUAAUUACUCAAAAUCUUACUCUUAUUUCCACGAGCGCCACCGGUCUUGUGAUGAAAGUGGCCCUUGAAUCUUACUUAUAAUCACCAAGACCACUACUUUCUGUAUUGAAUUUUUUUGUUAAAGCAUACAAUACUUUCACCUUAAUGCAUGAAUUACACUUGUUAUUGUAGAAA